UACGUAGGGGGCAAGCGUUGUCCGGAAUCAUUGGGCGUAAAGAGCGUGUAGGCGGCCCGGUAAGUCCGCUGUGAAAGUCCAGGGCUCAACCCUGGGAUGCCGGUGGAUACUGUCGGGCUCGAGUCCGGAAGAGGCGAGUGGAAUUCCUGGUGUAGCGGUGAAAUGCGCAGAUAUCAGGAGGAACACCCGUGGCGAAAGCGGCUCUCUGGGACGGUACUGACGCUGAGACGCGAAAGCGUGGGGAGCAAACAGG
rnacentral:rRNA from 1 species